CACGUAGGGGACGAGCGUUGUCCGGAUUCAUUGGGCGUAAAGCGCGCGUAGGCGGCUCGGAAAGUCGGGCGUGAAAUGCCGGGGCUCAACCCCGGGACUGCAUUCCAUACUGCGGUGCUUGAGGACUGGAGAGGAGACUGGAAUUUACGGUGUAGCAGUGAAAUGCGUAGAGAUCGUAAGGAAGACCAGUGGCGAAGGCGGGUCUCUGGACAGUUCCUGACACUGAGGCACGAAGGCCAGGGGAGCAAACGGG
rnacentral:rRNA from 1 species